rnacentral:rRNA from 1 species
UACGAAGGGGGCUAGCGUUGCUCGGAAUUACUGGGCGUAAAGGGAGCGUAGGUGGACAGUUUAGUCAGAGGUGAAAGCCCAGGGCUCAACCUUGGAAUUGCCUUUGAUACUGGCUGUCUUGAGUACGGAAGAGGUAUGUGGAACUCCGAGUGUAGAGGUGAAAUUCGUAGAUAUUCGGAAGAACACCAGUGGCGAAGGCGACAUACUGGUCCGUUACUGACACUGAGGCUCGAAAGCCAGGGGAGCAAACGGG